UUAACAGCCUGUUCCACGAUCUCGAAAGAAAAUUUGUGCGAACGAAGGCUACUCACUCACUUUCGCAUAAGAAUGCGUUCCACUAACUUUCGUUCUUUCUUUCGCAUAGCCUUACGUGAUUCAGUGUUGCAAAAUAUUUUUUGGCAAAAUUAAUCGCGAAAUAAGGCCAAGAAAGCGCCAAAUGUCUAAUUUAAACGCGAAAAAGCAGCAGUGGCUCUGUCUCAACUGACAGUUCAGUUGUAAACAAACAAAUUGUAAAUAAACAAACAAAAUAAAAUUUCUAGUGAUUGUGUUCAGAUUAUUUGUGUUCUUAAAAAAGAAAAAAAUGUAUAUUUCUGUAGCCCUAUUUUUUAUGGAUGAUGAGGAGGAGGUUCAAAUUGUGCCACGGAGGCAUUUAAGAGAUGCUUCGAAUCUAUUUGAAGUACCUAACAACCAGUUUGUGUCUUCCAGUGGUCUUCAUGGGAUUGCCUGCUGCUUCCAAAAAUUGGCACUCCUCUGCCGAACUUAGGAUUCUCCCCCAUAUACUCAACUAGUGCCCGCAGCUGUGUAGUUUUUUCGUGCUGGAAUUGAGAAAAUAAAAAAAUGUAUAUUUGUUGUUCACAGAUUAAAUUGCAUUUAUUAUUUUUACUUA